CUGGAUUCAAGUGAUUCUCCUGUCUCAGCCUCCUGAGUAGCUGGGCUUAUAGGUGUGCACCACCACGCCUGGCUAACUUUUGCAUUUUUAGUAGAGACGGGUUUUCACCAUGUUGGCAAGGCUGGUCUAGAACUCCUGACCUCCUGACCUCAGGUGAUCCGCCCACCUCGGCCUAGCAAAGUGCUGGGAUUACAGGUGUAAGCCACUGUGCCUGGCCUCACAGAUAUGUUUUAUUGAAACACAUGUUAGAUCUUCUUUGGGAUCACUGCAAAUGGUUGUAUGAUUUGUGUGCCACAAAGUGGCAAGUAGCGGCUGAAAUCCACCCAGUGCUUUGCUCACCAAGCCCUGCAUCGGUGAGCUCUGGUCUUCUGCUAAGACCUUUUUAGCCCUGCAAAGUCACCAUACAGACUAGCAGUACGUCUGAUCACAGUCAUCCAAAUGUGGGAUCUUCAGUAACGAUGACCUAAGAAUUUGACGGAACAACGGGUUGCCAAAUGCAGUUUUUCUUCCCUGCUAAUAUCCUGGUCACCUCGCUGGGCUUGCCAACUUUAUCUGGUCCCUUCUUCCUCUGCCCCAAGCUGCCACCCUUAAACUGGAGUCAGUGCUUUCACUGCCCAGUGGGGCCGCCCAUCUCAGCAGGCCUCCCCAGCAGUGCCUGAUGUUUCAUCUCAUGUGAAAUUGCCCCAGAACACAGGAUCAGCUCUGCACUGGGCCAUCACUGCCACUCCUCAGGGGCAGCUGGGUCUCCUCCCUGUGGCCUUCCAACAAUGGCUGGCAGUAGGGCUCAUCCCGAACCCAUUAAGGUGAUUUUUUUUUUCCUCCAAGGUACUUCCUUGAGGGCUGAAUACUAAUCAGCCUUCGAUACAAAUGAGGGGCCCCCUGUCAUCUUUGUGGCUGUGCAGUGGCUCUGUGGGGACAAUCCCAUGUGCCAUCCUCCCCACAACUUCGUUCUCCUGGGUUUUGUGCAAGAGCCAAUAUUGAUUACUGUUUUUGUUUGUUUGUUCGUUUGUUUGAGACAGAGUAUCACUCUGUAGCCAGGCUGGAGUGCAGUGGUGCAAUCUCAGUCUCUGCUCGCCUCACUGCAACCUCUGCCUCCCAGGUUCAAGUGAUUCUCCUGCUUCAGCCUCCUAAGUGGCUGGGACUACAGGCACAUGUCACCACGCCCAGCUAAUUUUUGUGUUUUUAGUAGAGACAGGGUUUCGUCAUGUUGGCCAGGAUGGUCUCGAUCCCUUGACCUGGUGAUCCGCCUGCCUUGGCCUCCCAAAGGAUUACUGUUAUUUCAUGAGAUGACUACAGGCUCAUCAUGCCACAGCAGUGGUGCCCCAGAACACUUCUCACAGUACAAGCAAGUCCUAUAGCAAAAUCCACGGGAACCUACAGGACAGUGGUCGAAGCCAUCUCUGC
rnacentral:lncRNA from 1 species